rnacentral:rRNA from 1 species
AUACGUAGGUGACAAGCGUUAUCCGGAUUUACUGGGCGUAAAGGGCGUGUAGGCGGUCUUGCAAGUCAGAAGUGAAAUUCCUGAGCUCAACUCGGGCGCUGCUUCUGAAACUGCAGGACUUGAGUGCUGGAGGGGAUAGCGGAAUUCCUAGUGGAGCGGUAAAAUGCGUAGAGAUUGGGAGGAACACCAGUGGCGAAGGCGACUUACUGGACUGUAACUGACGCUGAGGCGCGAAAGUGUGGGGAGCAAACAGGAUUAGAUACCCUGGUAGUCCACACUGUAAACGAUGAAUGCUAGGUGUAGGGGGUAUCGACCCCUUCUGUGCCGCAGUCAACACAAUAAGCAUUCCGCCUGGGGAGUACGGCCGCAAGGUUGAAACUUAAAGGAAUUGACGGGG